rnacentral:rRNA from 1 species
UACGAAGGGGGCUAGCGUUGCUCGGAAUUACUGGGCGUAAAGCGCACGUAGGCGGUUUCUUAAGUCGGGGGUGAAAUCCUGGAGCUCAACUCCAGAACUGCCUUCGAUACUGGGAAACUUGAGUCCGGGAGAGGUGAGUGGAACUGCGAGUGUAGAGGUGAAAUUCGUAGAUAUUCGCAAGAACACCAGUGGCGAAGGCGGCUCACUGGCCCGGUACUGACGCUGAGGAGGCGAAAGCGGUGGGGAGCAA